rnacentral:misc_RNA from 1 species
AAGUCGUAACAAGGUUUCCGUAGGUGAACCUGCGGAAGGAUCAUUUUCGAAAACAACUUCUUACAAACCAAUUAUGUGAAUUGUUUUGGGUUUUUACUCUCGGAGGUAGGGCUUAGUUGCUCUAAUAGUGACAACGGUAUACCAGUGGGUCUAUUGUUGCCCUCCUAUUACGCGAUGUCUGACGCCCUAUCUCUGGGAGGCCAUGAUGAACUACCUUCGGGUUGAUAGUAUCGUUCUUUUUUGCUUUUGUUUUCACAAACAAAAAAUUCCAAUGAUACGACAACUUUUAACGGUGGAUCUCUUGGCUCGU